GUGCUGAAGGGCGCAUGGGGUCAGUGGGACUGAGCAUUGCAGCUCUGUCCAUGGUACCGCGGGAGGGGGGGCUGCAGCUUUCCUUGGCUCCUCCAUCUGCUUUUCCAGAUCCUUCACUGCAGGGUUGCAGAACCUUUGCUCGAUGUCUUCAGGAAAGUGUGGUGAGAAGUGCUCGAUGGUAAUCCAGAAGGCAACAGAAGGGCUGAGGAGGCCCUCCUUGGGGCAGCUCUCCUUGCAUGGGGCAGAGAAUGUGGCAUCUUGAUUGGCAGUGCUAAGUGGUGGGAAGGAGCAUGCAAAUGGUGUUUGCCAAUAAAUCAGCCCCAGAUUACUCCAGAUGAUGAUAAGUGACAGAAAAACGGAGACCCUUAAGGAAAGACUGAAAAAGGAACGUGGGGAUCUCAAACAAGAGGUCUCACUGCUUCUUCUGAAGGAUCUUAGUUUCUUCUUUUUAAAUGAGGCUUUGCUCCUUAAGCACCAAGUGCUUGCCAUCGGACUGCCAGAGAUGCUGAUUGCUGUUCUGCACUCCCUAUCCAGAAGCUGGUGUCAUCCUGGGGCUGAACCUUCCCCUCUAGGCAGAUGUCUAUGAAGCAGAAAGUCAUGAAGUCUGUGCAGACAAAGGGAUCUAUGCUGGUCCUGGGUGAGAUCACAUAGUUCCAGUGUGUAGAUAUGGUUGUCCAGGUAUGUGCAUAUAAAGUAAUAUGAAUGCAUUACAAUGCAAAAUAAAAUAGAAGUGCAGCAUAACACAGAGUGAAUGUUCCUAUUUAUAUCCCAGGUUUUGUGUUACAUUACAGAUAUCAGAGCUGAGGCAAAGGGUUUGGUUUUAGUUCAAAAUAAUACUUGGGAAAAUGGAAAGCUCUCGGUUUUUAUUGUUGCUUCAUAAUUAGCUCCAGUGAGGGAAUCUAAUUACAAAUGUUCCAUGCUGCCCUAUGGCAAAACGUCAAAGGAAAGGGAAGGAUGGCCAAGCUUAAGCAACUCAGGUAAGAAUUAACUCCACGGUAAUAUCUGAUAAUUAAGAAUGUCUCUAUCAGCUCGUCUCGCUAUUAAUGAAUUGGGCUGCUCUUUUCACGUUUGAUUGCUGGCGCUUUAUGACUGCCAUUUCACCCUUAAUGCUCCUGGAAAUGGGCUUUCCUGUCUGGGGAGGGAGCGCCAGGAAUAAUGGUUGGGGAUUUAUAAACAGGUCCUAUUCUCUCCCCAGUAAAACUGCUGUUCUUUUCAUCCAGUGGGGCCACAUGUGUGUCCUCCCCAGCGCUCCCAGCUCACCCCACACCUCCUUCCCCUCGGAGCAGGGCUGGGAAGGGAGCAGGAGGUUCCCCCCGUGACUAUGGGCUGUGGAACGUGAGUUCUCUGCCCUGCAGCCUGUUUAAAACAAAGCCAGGUUCAUGGAUACCACCUGAAAAGCGCACUCACACUGUGAUGGCUUUGCUCCUUUGCUCUGCUCAGCCUCAGGAGGAGCUGCAGGAUCUGCUGUGCUCCCAGCACUGGAGGCAUCGCAACCCCACGGUGUAUCCAAGCAAUCAAUGUCUUCCAUUGACUCCUUCAGUGGAGAGAAUUCUUCCCGCUGUGCUCCACUCCCAGCUUCAUUGCAGUGGGAACCCACCAUCUCUGUGGGCUCAGCAUAAAGGCAUGGCCUGGGGCUGUACAGGGCUGUAUGGGCUGGGUCACAGACCUUGUGCUUUGCUUGUACUCAUACACACUGCAUUGUGGCCUUCAACAAGCGUGGGUCAGAGGGCCAUCACCCUGCCCAGGAGGGAGGUGGCUGAAGGCCAUGC
ensembl:lncRNA